UGUUCAAGCUGCUUCUGGUUCCCAGCAAAGUAGGCGGCGAUUGCAUUGUGGAAAAGGACCAGCUGGUUGUGCAAUACUUUCACCUUACUUUCUUCUAGAAAGUU